rnacentral:rRNA from 1 species
AGGGUUUGAUCCUGGCUCAGAACGAACGCUGGCGGCGUGGAUUAGGCAUGCAAGUCGCACGAGAAAGUUCCCUUCGGGGGACGAGUAAAGUGGCGAAAGGGUGAGUAAUGCGUAGAUAAUCUACCCUCGAGAUUGGGACAACAGUCCGAAAGGGCUGCUAAUACCAAAUGGUACGGGGAGCUGAGGCUCUCUUGUUAAAGGUGGGGACCUUCGGGCCUGCCACUCGAGGAGGAGUUUACGUCCUAUUAGCUUGUUGGUGGGGUAAUGGCCUACCAAGGUGACGAUGGGUAGCCGGCCUGAGAGGGUGUCCGGCCACACUGGAACUGAGACACUGUCCAGACUCCUACGGGAGGCUGCAGUCGAGAAUCUUCCGCAAUGGGCGAAAGCCUGACGGAGCGACGCCGCGUGGACGAUGAAGGCCUUCGGGUUGUAAAGUCCUUUCGCGCAGUAGGAAACCCGUGGUGUUAAUACCACUACGAUUGACGUUACUGUGUAAAGAAGCUCCGGCUAACUUCGUGCCAGCAGCCGCGGUAAUACGAAGGGAGCAAGCGUUGUUCGGAAUCACUGGGCAUAAAGGGCACGUAGGCGGUUCGGUAAGUUGGAUGUGAAAGCCCCUGGCUCAACCAGGGAACUGCAUUCAAUACUGCCGAACUUGAGACCGGUAGGGGAGUGUGGAACUUCUAGUGUAGCGGUGAAAUGCGUAGAUAUUAGAAGGAACGCCGGUGGCGAAAGCGACACUCUGGACCGGUUCUGACGCUGAGGUGCGAAAGCUAGGGGAGCAAACAGGAUUAGAUACCCUGGUAGUCCUAGCCCUAAACGAUGAGCACUAAAUA